rnacentral:rRNA from 1 species
UAGGGAAUCUUCCACAAUGGGCGCAAGCCUGAUGGAGCAACACCGCGUGAGUGAAGAAGGGUUUCGGCUCGUAAAGCUCUGUUGUUAAAGAAGAACACGUAUGAGAGUAACUGUUCAUACGUUGACGGUAUUUAACCAGAAAGUCACGGCUAACUACGUGUCCAG